rnacentral:rRNA from 1 species
UACGAAGGGGGCUAGCGUUGCUCGGAAUCACUGGGCGUAAAGGGUGCGUAGGCGGGUCUUUAAGUCAGGGGUGAAAUCCUGGAGCUCAACUCCAGAACUGCCCUUGAUACUGACGGUCUCGAGUCCGGGAGAGGUGAGUGGAACUGCGAGUGUAGAGGUGAAAUUCGUAGAUAUUCGCAAGAACACCAGUGGCGAAGGCGGCUCACUGGCCCGGUACUGACGCUGAGGUGCGAAAGCCAGGGGAGCGAACGGG